AGCCAACACAGACUGGCGUGCCCCAGACAUUUCUGGGCAAGUGUCUCUUCUGGUGGCUCCCUCUCAAGCACAAGUAGAAGG
rnacentral:pre_miRNA from 1 species